CAGUAGCCGCGGGAACACGUAGGUGGCAAGCGUUGUCCGGAAUUAUUGGGCGUAAAGGGCUCGCAGGCGGUUUCUUAAGUCUGAUGUGAAAGCCCCCGGCUCAACCGGGGAGGGUCAUUGGAAACUGGGAAACUUGAGUGCAGAAGAGGAGAGUGGAAUUCCACGUGUAGCGGUGAAAUGCGUAGAGAUGUGGAGGAACACCAGUGGCGAAGGCGAUUCUCUGGUCUGUAACUGACGCUGAGGAGCGAAAGCGUGGGGAGCGAACAGGAUUAGAUACCCGGGUAGUCCCUGUCUCUUAUAC
rnacentral:rRNA from 1 species